AAAAACUGGGACAUAUCGAUGUUGCAGUGUCCCCCAAUGCUGUCAUCUAUCUGACCUUGUCAUUGGGCUCUAGGGGUCAUUUAUCUCCCAAAUUUGGAGCCAUUUUUGAAAAGACCUAGGGGUCAUCUAAAACCCCCACUUUUGGAGCCACAUCUGAAUAAUAUUGGGAUUACACUGAUACCCUGUUUUGGCUACUAUAAAGCUAUACCUGCUUUAUCCUGGUACCAUUAAUGGAUUUGAAUUGAGCCAAUCCCUUUCAUAACAUAUUGGACCUUCUUGGCAAUAAAUUCCGCUCGUAUAUCUGACUGUCAUCUUUUUCAGUUUUGAUCCACUCAACUGUGCUUUAUCAUUACAUGAUUUUAUUGUGCCUCAGUACAUUAUUUGCAAUAUUCUAUCUAUUUAAAUGUAACCUUCUCCUCCAUUCCCUGAUGAAGCCUGGUUAUUUGCUAAGGGAGAAACGCGUUGGAAAGGGAGCACGAGAUGCCAUAUAAACCUUUUCCA